AAUACCAACCAUAGAGUCAGAAGACUUGCCUUUGAGGUCUAUCCCAACCGUUUUCCAGCUGUUUGGCUGUGAGCAAAUCACUAAAUUUCUUUGUCUCCAUUUCACCAAUUAUGAAAUGAGAAUGAUUGCUUCUGUUCAUUUAGUAACUCACUGUAAACGUGAGAGGAUUUUGUAAACUCAUAUGUCCUAUUCAAAUGCGAGGAUGCACGCCUCUUUCCCUCCGCUGAGGAAAUGAUUACUCCAGAGCUAUUUUUUAAUAUUCAACACCUUCU
rnacentral:lncRNA from 1 species